GUGGGCCCCCUGGGGCUCUCUCUCUUCUCCUUUCCUCCCACAGCCGAGCCUCUCCCUUUCUGGAAGGGAUCAAGACAAAUGGAAUGGCAGAUUAUAACACGGCUUUUGAAGAACAGGAGGGGUCUUGCCAUUUAGAUCUCCGGAGGUUGUGCUAGACCCGGGGGAAGACGUGACCAGUCGUGCUUUGCUGCGGAGGGUGAUGUGACUCUGUAGAGCCUGUUGAAAUGACACCCCCAAGGGUGACUCUGGAGACAUGGGAACUGACGAGAGCACAGGUGGACACAGUCAUCCGGAGAGCAUCUGACUCAGUAGUGAAAACUAAGUUAUACGUAAACCGAAUGACCCAGCAAUGCACCUCCUAGAGAAACUCGCCUGUGGAUAGGUCCUAAAAACCUGAAAGAAGCCUGCCUGGUAAGGGCGCUCACGCCCGUAAGCCCAGAGCUUUCCGUGGCCAAGGCAGGAGAAUCGUUCAAGCCCAGGAGUUUGAGACCAGCCUGGACAACCUAAAGAGAUUCUGUCUCUACAAAAAAUUUAAAAAUGAACUGGGCAUGAUGGCAGGUGCCUGUAGUCCCAGCUACUCAGGAGGCUGGGGUGGGAGGAUUGCUUGAGCCUGGGAGGUCGGGGCCUCAGUGAGCCAUGAUGGCACCACUGCACUCAAGCCUGGAUAACAGAGCAAGACCCUGUUUCAAAAAAUAUAUGUAUAAAUAAUU